ACGGGAGGCAGCAGUGGGGAAUAUUGGGCAAUGGGCGCAAGCCUGACCCAGCAACGCCGCGUGAAGGAUGAAGGUCUUCGGAUUGUAAACUUCUUUAAUUGGGGAAGAAAAAAAUGACCUACCCAAAGAAUAAGCCACGGCUAACUACGUGCCAGCAGCCGCGGUAAUACGUAGGUGGCAAGCGUUAUCCGGAUUUACUGGGUGUAAAGGGCGUGUAGGCGGCUCUGCAAGUCAGAAGGGAAAUUCCCGGGCUCCACCUGGGCGCUGCUUCUGAAACUGCAGAGCUUGAGUACUGGAGGGGAAACCGGAAUUCCUAGUGUAGCGGUAAAAUGCGCAGAUAUUAGGAGUAACACCGGUGGCGAAGGCGGCUUUCUGGACAGUAACUGACGCUGAGGCGCGAAAGCGUGGGGAGCAAACAGGAUUAGAUACCCUGGUA
rnacentral:rRNA from 1 species